UUUUUUUGUGUUUUUAU
rnacentral:sRNA from 1 species